CCUACGGGAGGCAGCAGUAAGGAAUAUUGGACAAUGGACGCAAGUCUGAUCCAGCCAUGCCGCGUGAAGGAUUAAGGUCCUCUGGAUUGUAAACUUCUUUUAUAAGGGACGAAAAAAGGUCUUUCUAGAUCGUCUGACGGUACCUUAUGAAUAAGCACCGGCUAACUCCGUGCCAGCAGCCGCGGUAAUACGGAGGGUGCAAGCGUUAUCCGGAUUCACUGGGUUUAAAGGGUGCGUAGGCGGGCAGGUAAGUCAGUGGUGAAAUCCUAGAGCUUAACUCUAGAACUGCCAUUGAUACUAUCUGUCUUGAAUAUUGUGGAGGUAAGCGGAAUAUGUCAUGUAGCGGUGAAAUGCUUAGAUAUGACAUAGAACACCUAUUGCGAAGGCAGCUUACUACGCAUAUAUUGACGCUGAGGCACGAAAGCGUGGGGAUCAAACAGGAUUAGAUACCCUGGUAGUCCACGCCCUAAACCGAUGGAUACUCGACAUACGCGAUACACUGUGUGUGUGUGAGNGAAGACGAUUAAGUAAGUCCUACCGUUCGGAGUACGACCGACGAGUUAGACGUUACGAAGAAGUUAGAGGCGNGAGACGNGCGACGGACGACGACGAGGGAGGAGG
rnacentral:rRNA from 1 species